CCUACGGGGAGCAGCAGUGGGGAAUAUUGGACAAUGGGCGAAAGCCUGAUCCAGCCAUGCCGCGUGUGUGAAGAAGGCCUUCGGGUUGUAAAGCACUUUCAGUGGGGAAGAAAGCCUUGGGGCUAAUACCCUCGAGGAAGGACAUCACCCACAGAAGAAGCACCGGCUAACUCCGUGCCAGCAGCCGCGGUAAUACGGAGGGUGCGAGCGUUAAUCGGAAUUACUGGGCGUAAAGCGCGCGUAGGCGGUCUGAUAAGCCGGUUGUGAAAGCCCCGGGCUCAACCUGGGAACGGCAUCCGGAACUGUCAGGCUAGAGUGCAGGGGAGGAAGGUAGAAUUCCCGGUGUAGCGGUGAAAUGCGUAGAGAUCGGGAGGAAUACCAGUGGCGAAGGCGGCCUUCUGGACUGACACUGACGCUGAGGUGCGAAAGCGUGGGUAGCAAACAGGAUUAGAUACCCUAGUAGUC
rnacentral:rRNA from 1 species